rnacentral:tRNA from 1 species
GCCUGGCUAGCUCAGUCGGUACAGCAUGAGACUCUUAAUGUCAGGGUUGUGGGUUCGAGCCCCACAUUGGGCG